UACGGGAGGCAGCAGUGGGGAAUAUUGCACAAUGGGCGCAAGCCUGAUGCAGCCAUGCCGCGUGUAUGAAGAAGGCCUUCGGGUUGUAAAGUACUUUCAGCGGGGAGGAAGGCGGUGAAGUUAAUAGCUUCACCGAUUGACGUUACCCGCAGAAGAAGCACCGGCUAACUCCGUGCCAGCAGCCGCGGUAAUACGGAGGGUGCAAGCGUUAAUCGGAAUUACUGGGCGUAAAGCGCACGCAGGCGGUCUGUCAAGUCGGAUGUGAAAUCCCCGGGCUUAACCUGGGAACUGCAUUCGAACUGGCAGGCUAGAGUCUUGUAGAGGGGGGUAGAAUUCCGAGGUGUAGCGGUGAAAUGCGUAGAGAUCUGGAGGAAUACCGGUGGCGAAGGCGGCCCCUGGCAAAGCUGACGCUCAGGUGCGAAAGCGUGGGGAGCAAACAGGGAUUAGGAUACCCGU
rnacentral:rRNA from 1 species